rnacentral:rRNA from 1 species
AGUCAGUUGUGAAAGUUUGGGGCUCAACCGUAAAAUUGCAGUUGAAACUGCCAGUCUUGAGUACAGUAGAGGUGGGCGGAUUUCGUGGUGUAGCGGUGAAAUGCUUAGAUAUCACGAAGAACUCCGAUUGCGAAGGCAGCUCACUAGACUGUUACUGACACUGAUGCUCGAAAGUGUGGGUAUCAAACAGGAUUAGAUACCCUGGUAGUCCACACAGUAAACGAUGAAUACUCGCUGUUUGCGAUAUACAGUAAGCGGCCAAGCGAAAGCAUUAAGUAUUCCACCUGGGGAGUACGCCGGCAACGGUGAAACUCAAAGGAAUUGACGGGGGCCCGCACAAGCGGAGGAACAUGUGGUUUAAUUCGAUGAUACGCGAGGAACCUUACCCGGGCUUAAAUUGCAACAGAAUAUAUUGGAAACAGUAUAGCCGUAAGGCUGUUGUGAAGGUGCUGCAUGGUUGUCGUCAGCUCGUGCCGUGAGGUGUCGGCUUAAGUGCCAUAACGAGCGCAACCCUUAUCUUUAGUUACUAACAGGUGAUGCUGAGGACUCUAGAGAGACUGCCGUCGUAAGAUGUGAGGAAGGUGGGGAUGACGUCAAAUCAGCACGGCCCUUACGUCCGGGGCUACACACGUGUUACAAUGGGGGGUACAGAAGGCGGCUACCUGGUGACAGGAUGCUAAUCCCAAAAACCUCUCUCAGUUCGGAUCGAAGUCUGCAACCCGACUUCGUGAAGCUGGAUUCGCUAGUAAUCGCGCAUCAGCCAUGGCGCGGUGAAUACGUUCCCGGGCCUUGUACACACCGCCCGUCAAGCCAUGAAAGCCGGGGGUACCUGAAGUACGUAACCGCAAGGAGCGUCCUAGGGUAAAA